CCCAGGUGUCACUCAGGGCUCAGCCAUGUCCCUCAGGUGUCACUCAGGUGUCCCAGGUGUCACUCAGGUGUCACUCAGGUGUCCCAGGUGUCACACAGGUGUCACCCAGGUGUCACUCAGGGCUCAGCCAUGUCCCUCAGGUGUCCCCAGGUGUCACUCAGGUGUCACUCAGGUGUCCCCAGGUGUCCCAGGUGUCACACAGGUGUCCCCAGGUGUCACUCAGGGCUCAGCCAUGUCCCUCAGGUGUCCCCAGGUGUCCCAGGUGUCACACAGGUCUCACUCAGGUGUCACUCAGGUGUCCCAGGUGUCACUCAGGUGUCACUCAGGGCUCAGCCAUGUCCCCGCCUCCUCCACGUCCUGCGGCACCACCAGGAACAGCUGCGAGCCCGGCUGGGCCAG